rnacentral:rRNA from 1 species
CGGAGGUACUCGAGUGGCGAACGGGUGAGUAACACGUGGGUGAUCUGCCCUGCACUCUGGGAUAAGCCUGGGAAACUGGGUCUAAUACCGGAUAGGACCGCACUUUAGUGUGUGUGGUGGAAAGUUUUUUCGGUGUAGGAUGAGCCCGCGGCCUAUCAGCUUGUUGGUGGGGUAAUGGCCUACCAAGGCGGCGACGGGUAGCCGGACUGAGAGGUUGGACGGCCACAUUGGGACUGAGAUACGGCCCAG